rnacentral:rRNA from 4 species
UGGUGGGUAGUUUGACUGGGGCGGUCUCCUCCUAAAGAGUAACGGAGGAGCACGAAGGUUGGCUAAUCCUGGUCGGACAUCAGGAGGUUAGUGCAAUGGCAUAAGCCAGCUUGACUGCGAGCGUGACGGCGCGAGCAGGUGCGAAAGCAGGUCAUAGUGAUCCGGUGGUUCUGAAUGGAAGGGCCAUCGCUCAACGGAUAAAAGGUACUCCGGGGAUAACAGGCUGAUACCGCCCAAGAGUUCAUAUCGACGGCGGUGUUUGGCACCUCGAUGUCGGCUCAUCACAUCCUGGGGCUGAAGUAGGUCCCAAGGGUAUGGCUGUUCGCCAUUUAAAGUGGUACGCGAGCUGGGUUUAGAACGUCGUGAGACAGUUCGGUCCCUAUCUGCCGUGGGCGCUGGAGAACUGAGGGGGGCUGCUCCUAGUACGAGAGGACCGGAGUGGACGCAUCACUGGUGUUCGGGUUGUCAUGCCAAUGGCACUGCCCGGUAGCUAAAUGCGGAAGAGAUAAGUGCUGAAAGCAUCUAAGCACGAAACUUGCCCCGAGAUGAGUUCUCCCUGAGACUUAGAGUCUCCUGAAGGAACGUUGAAGACGACGACGUUGAUAGGCCGGGUGUGUAAGCGCAGCGAUGCGUUGAGCUAACCGGUACUAAUGAACCGUGAGGCUUAACCUUACAACGCCGAAGCUGUU